GCGGGGUUAGCCGAGUCGGCCAAAGGCGGAGGACUUAAGAUCCUUUCCCCAGCGGUUCAGGGGUUCGAAUCCCUUACCCCGCA
rnacentral:tRNA from 1 species